rnacentral:rRNA from 1 species
UUAAGCGACUAAGCGUACACGGUGGAUGCCUAGGCAGUCAGAGGCGAUGAAGGGCGUGCUAAUCUGCGAAAAGCGUCGGUAAGCUGAUAUGAAGCGUUAUAACCGACGAUACCCGAAUGGGGAAACCCAGUGCAAUACGUUGCACUAUCGUUAGAUGAAUACAUAGUCUAACGAGGCGAACCGGGGGAACUGAAACAUCUAAGUACCCCGAGGAAAAGAAAUCAACCGAGAUUCCCCCAGUAGCGGCGAGCGAACGGGGAGGAGCCCAGAGUCUGAAUCAGUUUGUGUGUUAGUGGAAGCGUCUGGAAAGUCGCACGGUACAGGGUGAUAGUCCCGUACACCAAAAUGCACAGGCUGUGAACUCGAUGAGUAGGGCGGGACACGUGACAUCCUGUCUGAAUAUGGGGGGACCAUCCUCCAAGGCUAAAUACUCCUGACUGACCGAUAGUGAACCAGUACCGUGAGGGAAAGGCGAAAAGAACCCCGGCGAGGGGAGUGAAAUAGAACCUGAAACCGUGUACGUACAAGCAGUGGGAGCACCUUCGUGGUGUGACUGCGUACCUUUUGUAUAAUGGGUCAGCGACUUAUAUUUUGUAGCAAGGUUAACCGAAUAGGGGAGCCGUAGGGAAACCGAGUCUUAACUGGGCGUCUAGUUGCAAGGUAUAGACCCGAAACCCGGUGAUCUAGCCAUGGGCAGGUUGAAGGUUGGGUAACACUAACUGGAGGACCGAACCGACUAAUGUUGAAAAAUUAGCGGAUGACUUGUGGCUGGGGGUGAAAGGCCAAUCAAACCGGGAGAUAGCUGGUUCUCCCCGAAAGCUAUUUAGGUAGCGCCUCGUGAACUCAUCUUCGGGGGUAGAGCACUGUUUCGGCUAGGGGGCCAUCCCGGCUUACCCAAACCGAUGCAAACUCCGAAUACCGAAGAAUGUUAUCACGGGAGACACACGGCGGGUGCUAACGUCCGUCGUGAGAGGGAAACAACCCAGACCGCCAGCUAAGGUCCCAAAGUCAUGGUUAAGUGGGAAACGAUGUGGGAAGGCACAGACAGCCAGGAUGUUGGCUUAGAAGCAGCCAUCAUUUAAAGAAAGCGUAAUAGCUCACUGGUCGAGUCGGCCUGCGCGGAAGAUGUAACGGGGCUAAACCAUGCACCGAAGCUGCGGCAGCGACACUUAGGUGUUGUUGGGUAGGGGAGCGUUCUGUAAGCCGUUGAAGGUGACCUGUGAGGGUUGCUGGAGGUAUCAGAAGUGCGAAUGCUGACAUAAGUAACGAUAAUGCGGGUGAAAAACCCGCACGCCGGAAGACCAAGGGUUCCUGUCCAACGUUAAUCGGGGCAGGGUGAGUCGACCCUAAGGCGAGGCUGAAAAGCGUAGUCGAUGGGAAACAGGUUAAUAUUCCUGUACUUGGUGUUACUGCGAAGGGGGGACGGAGAAGGCUAGGCUGGCCGGGCGACGGUUGUCCCGGUUUAAGCGUGUAGGGGGAGUGACCAGGUAAAUCCGGUUGCUUAUCAACCCUGAGGCGUGAUGACGAUGCACUACGGUGCAGAAGCAGUUGAUGCCAUGCUUCCAGGAAAAGCCUCUAAGCAUCAGGUAACAUUAAAUCGUACCCCAAACCGACACAGGUGGUCAGGUAGAGAAUACUCAGGCGCUUGAGAGAACUCGGGUGAAGGAACUAGGCAAAAUGGUGCCGUAACUUCGGGAGAAGGCACGCUGGCGUUAGGUGAAAGGACUAGCUCCUGGAGCUGAAGCCAGUCGCAGAUACCAGCUGGCUGCAACUGUUUAAUAAAAACACAGCACUGUGCAAACACGAAAGUGGACGUAUACGGUGUGACGCCUGCCCGGUGCUGGAAGGUUAAUUGAUGGGGUCAGCCGCAAGGCGAAGCUCUUGAUCGAAGCCCCAGUAAACGGCGGCCGUAACUAUAACGGUCCUAAGGUAGCGAAAUUCCUUGUCGGGUAAGUUCCGACCUGCACGAAUGGCGUAAUGAUGGCCAGGCUGUCUCCACCCGAGACUCAGUGAAAUUGAACUCGCUGUGAAGAUGCAGUGUACCCGCGGCAAGACGGAAAGACCCCGUGAACCUUUACUAUAGCUUGACACUGAACAUUGAGCCUUGAUGUGUGUAGGAUGGGAGGCCUUGAAGUGUGGACGCCAGUCUGCAUGGAGCCAACCUUGAAAUACCACCCUUUAAUGUUUGAUGUUCUAACUCGGCCCCAUAAUCUGGGGUGAGGACAGUGUCUGGUGGGUAGUUUGACUGGGGCGGUCUCCUCCCAAAGAGUAACGGAGGAGCACGAAGGUUAGCUAAUCACGGUCGGACAUCGUGAGGUUAGUGCAAAGGCAUAAGCUAGCUUGACUGCGAGAGUGACGGCUCGAGCAGGUACGAAAGUAGGUCUUAGUGAUCCGGUGGUUCUGAAUGGAAGGGCCAUCGCUCAACGGAUAAAAGGUACUCCGGGGAUAACAGGCUGAUACCGCCCAAGAGUUCAUAUCGACGGCGGUGUUUGGCACCUCGAUGUCGGCUCAUCACAUCCUGGGGCUGAAGUAGGUCCAAGGUAUGGCU